rnacentral:rRNA from 1 species
UACGUAGGUGGCAAGCGUUUGUCCGGAUUUAUUGGGUUUAAAGGGUGCGUAGGCGGCCCUGUAAGUCAGUGCUGAAAUCCCCCGGCUUAACCGGGGUGGUGGCAUUGAUACUGCAGGGCUUGAGUACAGAUGAGGUAGGCGGAAUUGACGGUGUAGCGGUGAAAUGCAUAGAUAUCAGGAGGAACACCUGUGGUGUAGACGGCUUUCUGGACCAUAGCUGACGCUGAGACACGAAAGCGUGGGUAGCAAACAGG